CCUCGGGGAGGCAGCAGUGGGGAAUAUUGGACAAUGGGCGAAAGCCUGAUCCAGCCAUGCCGCGUGUGUGAAGAAGGCCUUCGGGUUGUAAAGCACUUUCAGUGGGGAAGAAAGCCUUGGGGCUAAUACCCUCGAGGAAGGACAUCACCCACAGAAGAAGCACCGGCUAACUCCGUGCCAGCAGCCGCGGUAAUACGGAGGGUGCGAGCGUUAAUCGGAAUUACUGGGCGUAAAGCGCGCGUAGGCGGUCUGAUAAGCCGGUUGUGAAAGCCCCGGGCUCAACCUGGGAACGGCAUCCGGAACUGUCAGGCUAGAGUGCAGGAGAGGAAGGUAGAAUUCCCGGUGUAGCGGUGAAAUGCGUAGAGAUCGGGAGGAAUACCAGUGGCGAAGGCGGUCUUCUGGACUGACACUGACGCUGAGGUGCGAAAGCGUGGGUAGCAAACAGGAUUAGAUACCCUGGUAGUC
rnacentral:rRNA from 1 species